UUGAUCCCUGCUCAGAUUGAACGCUGGCGGCAGGCCUAACACAUGCAAGUCGAGCGGUAACAGARAGUAGCUUGCUACUUUGCUGACGAGCGGCGGACGGGUGAGUAAUGCUUGGGAACAUGCCUUGAGGUGGGGGACAACAGUUGGAAACGACUGCUAAUACCGCAUAAUGUCUACGGACCAAAGGGGGCUUCGGCUCUCGCCUUUAGAUUGGCCCAAGUGGGAUUAGCUAGUUGGUGAGGUAAUGGCUCACCAAGGCGACGAUCCCUAGCUGGUUUGAGAGGAUGAUCAGCCACACUGGGACUGAGACACGGCCCAGACUCCUACGGGAGGCAGCAGUGGGGAAUAUUGCACAAUGGGCGCAAGCCUGAUGCAGCCAUGCCGCGUGUGUGAAGAAGGCCUUCGGGUUGUAAAGCACUUUCAGUCAGGAGGAAAGGUUAGUAGUUAAUACCUGCUAGCUGUGACGUUACUGACAGAAGAAGCACCGGCUACUC
rnacentral:rRNA from 1 species